GUUGCACCCGGCUAUUAAGCCGGGUGAGGAUUGAAAC
rfam:Geobacillus sp. BCO2 LR69_contig000143, whole genome shotgun sequence.